UACUGCCAGAAUAUUCAUAGUUUUCAUCAUUUAGUGUACAGAGCUGUAUUUUAUCUUAGUAUUAAAUAUUUUGUGCGCAUGCGGCAUUGUCGGUCGUAGACAUUAGUCAGGGAAUCUCCAUAUUCUUACAGGAAUGAAAGCGAGACUGCGAGUGACAGAAGUAUGAUGCGUUCAAUUAAUGAUUCAGCUGUUGAUUAUAAACAUACCAAGUGUUCAGCUGAUGAAACAUUUACCCGAAAAUACUUUUAGUAGGAAAAAAACUCUAUGGAACCGUUUUGAAAGCUGCGAGUUGUGAAAAUGACGUGAUUUACAGCCUUUAUACCGUGUGUGCCAUUGUAAAGACUGUAAGUCUAUCAUCACGGCCUUGUUUUCUUCUGCUUCAAUAUGCCAUCUAACCUGACUAAAGUCUAUUGGGUAAUUUGUUUCACUUGUCACAAUGCAUUCUUGGAUUCACUUAUUCAUGAAGGAUACAUAAGAUGCUGCCUUUGUAUUUGGCUAAAGCGAGGUGUGUUAGAAGAUAGUAUGAUUUUGCUCCGUAUGGCUCAGGACAGUCUUUGCAUCAGAAGUGUGCCUUCAGCAUGAACAGCACCAGCUGCCUGCUCUUAGCAGGGCAGUUAUUUUCCGUCGGCAGUAGUUUAAACCAUGUGAAUGUGUAUGUAGUCCCCUGCUGUGCCCUCUUAGCGAUGCCCUUUCAUUUCAGACCGGCCUGCUGUUUAACGGUCCGACUACCUUUCCUAUCCUGCAUUCUUUUCAAAUGGCUUCCUUUUUCCCUGAAGAGCUGAACUCAUUCACCAGCUUUAUAUACCUGAGACUCUGGCAGCACCUCGGUCCUGUGUGCCAAUACGACACAUAAACAUGAACGUUUCCUACAUCCUGGUAUAUGUUCAAAACCCCUUGGGUGACUUUAAAGCCACAAGCACUUAGAGUACAAUGGGAGCAUGUGUUUGUAACAGUAUCUGUGUACGUUCACACUACGUUGAACGAGCACAAAAUAGCUUGAGGUGUAAAGUGAAAAUGCCCUCUCUCAGAUAGGCCUUGUGGAAAAUAAAAUAAGUAGUUACUGUUAAUAUAGUUUAACGUAGAGUGAAUAUGAGUUUGUUUUGUAGCACAUCCUCUGUAAAGCGGUUUAGGGGCAGAAGGUUUAAACUCUUAAAUUAGUUUUUGAUGUCUUAAGCUAAGAGCAUAACUACGCCAAAACCAGACAGCUUGAUCAAAUGUUCCCAUUUGUUUUCCGUGAUAGUUGCUGUAGUUUCCAAAUCCAGAAAUUAGCGAGGGAGUGAGCAGACCUUGCAAAAUCUUUUGCACGGACAGAAAAAUGAAGUAAUAAAUCUGUUACUUGAUAUCUGUGCGAAGGUUUCCGAAUGGGAAUUGGAGUUGGUCAGCCAGCGGCCUCGGCGAACACAUUUAUGUGUCAAUGCAAUUGUUAUUUUCACGGCUCUGUCCUGCGGAAUGACCUCAGCGCUUUAACAGAUGGAGUGCAGUUAUUCAGUGAUGUCACUGGUGUGGUUACCAUGGCAUAUUCGCCUGUUAUAUAAAGGAUGAUCUAAUGAUGCUGCCGGGGUCCACAUGGCUUGUGUUUAUGCCUCGUACUACAUCUUUUUCCAGACCGCAUUUCUUCGGAGGGUUCGGACCGAGCGUGUGUUUAUGGCAGUGAUGGUUCUGUUUCCCAAACGUGUGUGUCCUGCAUCCUGUUAUGUCCUCCGUCGCUGUGGAGACGUGGCACAUGUUUUCGGACUGCGGAGGCGCCAUGGCAACUGCAACCAGAGUGGGAGUGCUGCUCUACAGCAGCUGUCAGCACAACGGCUGAAGGAAGUUCUUGAAGAAGUGAAAUCCAGUGACCCCUCCUCUUAACUGUGUGCGACCCGCCGUAGUGCAGGAAUACCCUUCUAUAUACAGGCCCUGCUGUCCUCUGAGCCCAAAUCAUCCAGCUGUGGACUCCUGAAGAUGACCAUGAGAACUUUGACAGCAUUGACCAUGCCCUCUAAUGAUGGAGAUACUGAGAGCAGCUCUGUGCCACAGGUCCACGCUCUGAACAUCCUGAGUGCUUUGUAUCGAGACACACGUAGAACAUUGUGCCGUUUGUGUCAGAGGGCAUGCAAGCUGCUAUCCUGGGUUUCACUUCUCCUGUGUGGGCCGAUGACCGGCCGAGAGUUUUUCACUCUUUUUCCUGCCCUCUAUCCCUUCCUCCUCAGUCAGCUCCAGGAAGCUGCAGCCUCUGUGAACAGAUCGACCCACAGUGAAAUUUCAUUGGUCUAAAGAACGGCAGGCGGAUUCUACGAAGGAGCGUCCGUUGGGAUUGCGGCAACCACAUGUGACGACCCCGGGCUGGACUCUGCUUCGUCCACGGUGAAAUCCAAUCCAGCAAUCCACAGUGCAAAGUUGAUGUA